rnacentral:rRNA from 1 species
CUAACACAUGCAAGUCGAACGAGGGUUUGGAAAGCUUGCUUUCCGAAACCUAGUGGCGGACGGGUGAGUAACGCGUGAGUAACCUGCCUUUCAGAGGGGAAUAACGUUCUGAAAAGAACGCUAAUACCGCAUAACGUACAGUUACCGCAUGGUAGCAGUACCAAAGGAGCAAUCCGCUGAAAGAUGGACUCGCGUCCGAUUAGCUAGUUGGUGGGGUAAAGGCCUACCAAGGCGACGAUCGGUAGCCGGGCUGAGAGGUUGAACGGCCACAUUGGGACUGAGACAUGGCCCAGACUCCUACGGGAGGCAGCAGUGGGGGAUAUUGCACAAUGGGGGAAACCCUGAUGCAGCAACGCCGCGUGUGGGAAGAAGGUUUUCGGAUUGUAAACCACUGUUCUUGGUGAAGAUAAUGACGGUAACCAAGGAGAAAGCUCCGGCUAACUACGUGCCAGCAGCCGCGGUAAUACGUAGGGAGCAAGCGUUGUCCGGAUUUACUGGGUGUAAAGGGUGCGUAGGCGGCUAGGCAAGUCAGACGUGAAAACCAUGGGCUCAACCUGUGGACUGCGUUUGAAACUGUUUAGCUUGAGUGAAGUAGAGGUAGGCGGAAUUCCCGGUGUAGCGGUGAAAUGCGUAGAGAUCGGGAGGAACACCAGUGGCGAAGGCGGCUACUGGGCUUUAACUGACGCUGAG